CCCUCCUCCCCUCUCUCUCUCUCUUUCUCUCUCUCUCUCUCUCUCCUUCCUUUCAGUCUCUAUUUCCAUCUUUGAGCUUUAUCCCUUCAUCCCUUAUCUCCUUCAUCCCCUCCAAUCCUCAUCUGCUCUUCCACCGUGGACCGAAGGCGCAGAGAAAGAGAGAGUUUUCCACAGGUGCAGUCCGUCGCAGGAGCCUCGCACACGCUUUGCAUCGUGGGAUUGAACCGCCGCUGACAAACACACGGCCCCCCCUUUGUGGACGGUGACAGCUUCGUUUUUCCACCUGUAAACUCCGCCUGCGACCGUUGCCAUGGCAGCUGAAAAGGCUGAAAUGGACAAAC